AAGUCGUAACAAGGUAACCGUAGGUGAACCUGCGGUUGGAUCAUUGAGAAGCGGAAGCGUUAGCGGAGAGCGUGGAGUCUCUGGGGGGCAACCCCGAUAAGAUAAGGGAAAAUAUGGUGAUAUAUAAAUAAUAAAUAUAAUACAACUUUUGGCAACGGAUCUCUAGGCUCUC
rnacentral:misc_RNA from 1 species